UGAUACUGCUGAGUUUUAAUGUGUUCCAGUCUUUGAGAACAUUUACAGUAAAUAAACACAUCAAAGUCAUAUUUCAGUUUAAAGUUCCCAUAUUGGUACUUCAAAACAAAAAACAAAGGCUAGCGUAGAAUAUAUUCAUAAAGUUGCAUACAUGGUAGAUACAGUAACCUAAUUGUUCAUGUCUAUUUUUCCUUAAUAAACAAUUUCAUACAAAUCAAAAAUUAAAAUCUACUGAAUGUUUGUAUGUAAAAACAAACAACAACAAAAUAUCAACCAACAAAUAUUAUGUCAUUUGUUGGUGUAAAAAAGAUAUGUUUUUAAAAUGGUUGCUGUUAAUGGCAUGGAUUAGAAAAUGGAAUGUCACAAGCGCUGCUGGAAAUAGGAAAAACUUAAUGUAUGUCUUUUAUGUGAGUGUGUAUAUAUAUAUAUAAAUAUAA